rnacentral:rRNA from 1 species
UACGUAGGCAGCAAGCGUUGUUCGGAGUUACUGGGCGUAAAGGGUGUGUAGGCGGUUUUUUAAGUUUGGUGUGAAAUCUCCCGGCUCAACUGGGAGGGUGCGCCGAAUACUGAAAGACUAGAGUGCGGGAGAGGAAAGUGGAAUUCCUGGUGUAGCGGUGAAAUGCGUAGAUAUCAGGAGGAACACCGGUGGUGUAGACGGCUUUCUGGACCACAACUGACGCUGGAGGCGCGAAAAGCCUAGGGGGAGCAAACAGG